rnacentral:rRNA from 1 species
GUGCCAGCCGCCGCGGUAAUACGUAGGUGGCGAGCGUUAUCCGGAUUUACUGGGUGUAAAGGGCGCGCAGGCGGCCCUGGAAGUCAGAUGUGAAAGAUCAAGGCUUAACUUUGACAGGUCAUCUGAAACUUUGGGGCUUGAGUAUCAGAGGGGAAAGUGGAAUUCCUAGUGGAGCGGUAAAAUGCACAGAGAUUAGGAGGAACACCGGUGGCGAAGGCGACUUUCUGGCUGACAACUGACGCUGAGGCGCGAAAGCGUGGGGAGCAAACAGGAUUAGAUACCCUGGUAGUCCACGCCGUAAACGAUGAUUACUGGGUGUAGGGAGUAUCGACUCUCUCUGUGCCGAAGCAAACGCGAUAAGUAAUCCACCUGGGGAGUACGGCCGCAAGGCUAAAACUCAAAGAAAUUGACGG